rnacentral:misc_RNA from 1 species
GAUGAAGAACGUAGCGAAAUGCGAUACGUAAUGUGAUUUGCAGAAUUCAGUGAAUCAUCGAGUCUUUGAACGCACAUUGCGCCCCCUGGUAUUCCGGGGGGCAUGCCUGUCCGAGCGUCAUUGCUGCCCUCAAGCACGGCUUGUGUGUUGGGCCUCCGUCCUCCUCCCGGGGGACGGGCCCGAAAGGCAGCGGCGGCACCGCGUCCGGUCCUCGAGCGUAUGGGGCUUCGUCACCCGCUCUUGUAGGCCCGGCCGGCGCUUGCCGACACAUCAAUCUUUUUUCCAGGUUGACCUCGGAUCAGGUAGGGAUACCCGCUGAACUUAAGCAUAUCAAUAAGCGGAGGA